rnacentral:rRNA from 1 species
GACGAACGCUGGCGGCGUGCUUAACACAUGCAAGUCGAACGCUGAAGCCCAGCUUGCUGGGUGGAUGAGUGGCGAACGGGUGAGUAACACGUGAGUAACCUGCCCUUCACUUCAGGAUAACUCCGGGAAACCGGUGCUAAUACUGGAUAUGACUCCUGCCUGCAUGGGUGGGGGUGGAAAGAUUUAUCGGUGGUGGAUGGACUCGCGGCCUAUCAGCUUGUUGGUGGGGUAUGGCCUACCAAGGCGACGACGGGUAGCCGGCCUGAGAGGGUGACCGGCCACACUGGGACUGAGACACGGCCCAGACUCCUACGGGAGGCAGCAGUGGGGAAUAUUGCACAAUGGGCGAAAGCCUGAUGCAGCGACGCCGCGUGCGGGAUGACGGCCUUCGGGUUGUAAACCGCUUUCAGCUCUGACGAAGCUUUUGUGACGGUAGGAGCAGAAGAAGCACCGGCUAACUACGUGCCAGCCGCCGCAGUAACAC